rnacentral:rRNA from 1 species
GACGAACGCUGGCGGCGUGCCUAAUACAUGCCAGUCGAACGCUUCUUUCCUCCCGAGUGCUUGCACUCAAUUGGAAAGAGGAGUGGCGGACGGGUGAGUAACACGUGGGUAACCUACCCAUCAGAGGGGGAUAACACUUGGAAACAGGUGCUAAUACCGCAUAACAGUUUAUGCCGCAUGGCAUAAGAGUGAAAGGCGCUUUCGGGUGUCGCUGAUGGAUGGACCCGCGGUGCAUUAGCUAGUUGGUGAGGUAACGGCUCACCAAGGCCACGAUGCAUAGCCGACCUGAGAGGGUGAUCGGCCACACUGGGACUGAGACACGGCCCAGACUCCUACGGGAGGCAGCAGUAGGGAAUCUUCGGCAAUGGACGAAAGUCUGACCGAGCAACGCCGCGUGAGUGAAGAAGGUUUUCGGAUCGUAAAACUCUGUUGUUAGAGAAGAACAAGGACGUUAGUGACUGAACGUCCCCUGACGGUAUCUAACCAGAAAGCCACGGCUAACUACGUG